GUGGGUUGUAAUUUAUUUGGAUGGUUCUAAUUUAAUUGGAUGUUAAGUUAUAUUUAUUUGGAUAUUUGAUCUAAUUUUUAUUAAAAAUUUAAAUGUCAUAUAUAAAUGUAUCUUGUAUCUCUCUUUUUUUUGUUUUUUUUUUUUAUUUGGGGGAGUUGGGGAGAGGGAGCAGUGGGGUUUGAACUCGGGACCUCACUGUUCACACACAGGAGGUCGUACCACUUGGUGUCCCCUUAAAGACGUAUCUUGUAUCUCUUAAAAAAAUAUUUCUGGUAAAAACCAUGCAAACUCAUUAUAACAAAGGUCAAAAUAAGUUGUUCAAUGUGGAAAGCCUGUAUUUAUAAAAGUGAACACUUUUUACAC
rnacentral:lncRNA from 1 species